rnacentral:rRNA from 1 species
AACGCGAAGAACCUUACCUGCCCUUGACAUCCCGCGGAGACUGCAGAGAUGCGGUUGUGCCGAGAGGAACGCGGAGACAGGUGCUGCAUGGCUGUCGUCAGCUCGUGUUGUGAGAUGUUGGGUUAAGUCCCGUAACGAGCGCAACCCUUAUUCCUAGUUACCAACGCGUAGAGGCGGGGACUCUAGGGAGACUGCUGGUGAAGAACCGGAGGAAGGUGGGGACGAGGUCAAGUCAUCAUGGCCUUUAUGGGCAGGGCUACACACGUGCUACAAUGGGGCGUACAGAGGGAAGCGAAGCCGAGAGGUGGAGCGGAUCCGAGAAAGCGCCUCGUAGUCCGGAUUGAAGUCUGCAACUCGACUUCAUGAAGUUGGAAUCGCUAGUAAUCGCGAAUCAGAAUGUCGCGGUGAAUACGUUCCCGGGCCUUGUACACACCGAGACGAC